rnacentral:tRNA from 1 species
GCGGGCUUGGCGUACUGGGGUGCGCGCCUGGUUUCCACCCAGGAGGUAGGUGUUCGAUCCACCUAGCCCGCACCA